rnacentral:rRNA from 1 species
UACGGGGGGGGGCAAGCGUUGUUCGGAAUUACUGGGCGUAAAGGUCUGUAGGUGGCCAACUAAGUCAGACGUGAAAUCCCUCAGCUUAACUGGGGAACUGCGUCUGAUACUGGUUGGCUUGAGUGCAGGAGAGGAAUGCGGAAUUCCUGGUGUAGCGGUGAAAUGCGCAGAUAUCAGGAGGAACACCGGUGGCGAAGGCGGUUCUCUGGGCAUGUUCUGACGCUGAGGAGCGAAAGUGUGGGGGAGCGAACAGG